rnacentral:tRNA from 1 species
CCCCUGGCGGUCCAGUAGUUAGGACUUGGCACUUUUACUGCCAUGGCCCAGGUUCGAUCCCUGACUAGGGAA